GGCCUGCUGGCCCAAUGGCAAGGCGCUUGACUACGAUUCAAAGGAUUUCCGAUUCCUUGGAUUGAUAUCAAGAGAUUGCAGGUUCGAUCCCUGCGUAGGUCA